rnacentral:rRNA from 1 species
GAUGAACGCUGGCGGCGUGCCUAAUACAUGCAAGUCGAGCGAACGGACGAGAAGCUUGCUUCUCUGAUGUUAGCGGCGGACGGGUGAGUAACACGUGGAUAACCUACCUAUAAGACUGGGAUAACUUCGGGAAACCGGAGCUAAUACCGGAUAAUAUUUUGAACCGCAUGGUUCAAAAGUGAAAGACGGCCUUGCUGUCACUUAUAGAUGGAUCCGCGCUGCAUUAGCUAGUUGGUAAGGUAACGGCUUACCAAGGCAACGAUGCAUAGCCGACCUGAGAGGGUGAUCGGCCACACUGGAACUGAGACACGGUCCAGACUCCUACGGGAGGCAGCAGUAGGGAAUCUUCCGCAAUGGGCGAAAGCCUGACGGAGCAACGCCGCGUGAGUGAUGAAGGUCUUCGGAUCGUAAAACUCUGUUAUUAGGGAAGAACAUAUGUGUAAGUAACUGUGCACAUCUUGACGGUACCUAAUCAGAAAGCCACGGCUAACUACGUGCCAGCAGCCGCGGUAAUACGUAGGUGGCAAGCGUUAUCCGGAAUUAUUGGGCGUAAAGCGCGCGUAGGCGGUUUUUUAAGUCUGAUGUGAAAGCCCACGGCUCAACCGUGGAGGGUCAUUGGAAACUGGAAAACUUGAGUGCAGAAGAGGAAAGUGGAAUUCCAUGUGUAGCGGUGAAAUGCGCAGAGAUAUGGAGGAACACCAGUGGCGAAGGCGACUUUCUGGUCUGUAACUGACGCUGAUGUGCGAAAGCGUGGGGAUCAAACAGGAUUAGAUACCCUGGUAGUCCACGCCGUAAACGAUGAGUGCUAAGUGUUAGGGGGUUUCCGCCCCUUAGUGCUGCAGCUAACGCAUUAAGCACUCCGCCUGGGGAGUACGACCGCAAGGUUGAAACUCAAAGGAAUUGACGGGGACCCGCACAAGCGGUGGAGCAUGUGGUUUAAUUCGAAGCAACGCGAAGAACCUUACCAAAUCUUGACAUCCUUUGACAACUCUAGAGAUAGAGCUUUCCCCUUCGGGGGACAAAGUGACAGGUGGUGCAUGGUUGUCGUCAGCUCGUGUCGUGAGAUGUUGGGUUAAGUCCCGCAACGAGCGCAACCCUUAAGCUUAGUUGCCAUCAUUAAGUUGGGCACUCUAAGUUGACUGCCGGUGACAAACCGGAGGAAGGUGGGGAUGACGUCAAAUCAUCAUGCCCCUUAUGAUUUGGGCUACACACGUGCUACAAUGGACAAUACAAAGGGCAGCGAAACCGUGAGGUCAAGCAAAUCCCAUAAAGUUGUUCUCAGUUCGGAUUGUAGUCUGCAACUCGACUACAUGAAGCUGGAAUCGCUAGUAAUCGUAGAUCAGCAUGCUACGGUGAAUACGUUCCCGGGUCU